rnacentral:rRNA from 1 species
UACGGAGGGUGCAAGCGUUGUCCGGAUUUAUUGGGUUUAAAGGGCUCGUAGGUGGCCAACUAAGUCAGACGUGAAAUCCCUCGGCUUAACCGGGGAACUGCGUCUGAUACUGGAUGGCUUGAGUUCGGGAGAGGGAUGCGGAAUUCCAGGUGUAGCGGUGAAAUGCGUAGAUAUCUGGAGGAACACCGGUGGCGAAGGCGGCAUCCUGGACCGACACUGACACUGAGGAGCGAAAGCCAGGGGAGCAAACGGG